rnacentral:lncRNA from 1 species
GAGACAGGGUUUCACCAUGUUAGCCAGGAUGGCCUCGAUCUCCUGACCUCGUGAUCUGUCCACCUCGGCCUCCCAAAGUGCUGGGAUUACAGGCAUGAGCCACCACGCCUGGCCCAUUUGAAUUUUUUCAUUUUAGUUACUGUACUUUUCAAGUCCCAAGUUUCUGUUUAGUUCUUUUAAAAUAAUUUCUGCUUUUAGGCCAGGCAUGGUGGCUCACACCUGUAAUCCCAGCACUUUGGGAGGCCAAAGUGGGAGGUUCACUUGAGGUCAGGAGUUCAAGACUAGCCUGGCCAACACUCCAUCUCAAAAAAAAAGACAGUAUUCUUUAGCAUUAGUUCCGCUAAUGAUUGGACAAAGAUUUCCUUAGCCUCCAAAAACCAAUAAUCUCCUAGCCUUUGCUGAGGCAUGGUGGGCCAUGCUUUCGACAUUCAGCCAGGCAAUUGACAACUCUGCCUUCGCCACUACUUCUCCCAGGAAGGCACACAUCCUCAAGGUCAGCCCAAUGUAAGAAGACUGGGUUCUCAUCUCUGGUCUUUCUUGAGCCUGCAUAUACUCCUGGGCAUGCACACAACCCUAUGCAUGCAUGUGACCUUCUAGAUUUCCAAGAAUAUUUUGGAGUUUUUCAAAGCCUUCUCAUUCCCCAGCUUUAUCUUUUAAACUGUUUCAUUAGCCUAUUAUUGGCCUCAACUGUUAUUCAUUGCUUAGGCAGCUGCCUAGUUAAACAAUUGCAUGCAAUUGUGUUUCACAAAUGCCCCUGGGGAAAUAAUUUUGACGAUGUAUGAGCUCUAAGUUAGGUCAAAUACAGACAACAUUGCAAGUAGGGGCUUCCAGGGAACCAUAAGACGAAUCAAAUAAUUCUGACUUUCUGGGAGUGAGGCUUUUAUGGAGUUUCAUCCUCUUCUGCCCCGUUUGGUGUAUGCCAGGCUGCUAG